rnacentral:rRNA from 1 species
CGCUACACAUGCAGUCGAACGAAGUAGCAAUACUUAGUGGCAGACGGGUGAGUAACAUGUGGGUAUCUACCCUUUGGCCUGGAAUAACACGAGGAAACUUGUGCUAAUACCGGAUAAGUCUUUACGGAGAAAGCUUUAUGCACCAUUGGAGGAGCCUGCACUAGAUUAGUUUGUUGGUGGGGUAAUGGCCUACCAAGACUAUGAUCUAUAGCUGAUUUGAGAGGAUGAUCAGCCACAUUGGGACUGAGACACGGCCCAAACUCCUACGGGAGGCAGCAGUGGGGAAUCUUGCACAAUGGAGGAAACUCUGAUGCAGCGAUGCCGCGUGAGUGAAGAAGGCCCUUGGGUUGUAAAGCUCUUUCGUCGGGGAAGAAAAUGACUGUACCCGAAUAAGAAGGUCCGGCUAACUUCGUGCCAGCAGCCGCGGUAAUACGAAGGGACCUAGCGUAGUUCGGAAUUACUGGGCUUAAAGAGUUCGUAGGUGGUUGAAAAAGUUAGUGGUGAAAUCCCAGAGCUUAACUCUGGAACUGCCAUUAAAACUUUUCAGCUAGAGUAUGAUAGAGGAAAGCAGAAUUUCUAGUGUAGAGGUGAAAUUCGUAGAUAUUAGAAAGAAUACCAAUUGCGAAGGCAGCUUUCUGGAUCAUUACUGACACUGAGGAACGAAAGCAUGGGUAGCGAAGAGGAUUAGAUACCCUCGUAGUCCAUGCCGUAAACGAUGUGUGUUAGACGUUGGAAAUUUAUUUUCAGUGUCGCAGCGAAAGCGAUAAACACACCGCCUGGGGAGUACGACCGCAAGGUUAAAACUCAAAUGAAUUGACGGGGACCCGCACAAGUAGUGGAGCAUGUGGUUUAAUUCGAAGAUACGCGCAGAACCUUACCAACACUUGACAUGUUCGUCGCGACUCUAGAGAUUAGAGUUUUCGGUUCGGCCGGACGAAACACAGUGCUGCAUGGCUGUCGUCAGCUCGNGUCGUGAGAUGUUGGGUU